CAAAUGUAGGUUAUGUUUGUCUGUAAAGUUUAUUUCACACCAAAUACCAAAAUGCUCCUUGGCUUCUUGUUCUCUGGAUAUGUUGCUUUCAGCUAUUAUUUCUAGGUCCUUCCACCGUUGAAUUGGUUGCUCAGGAUCACAAUGAAUGUUACUUUUAUGAAAGUAAUUCAACAGCCAGUAGUAUACUUCCAAAUAUAUGAAUAUUAUCGUCUUGAUAUGUUAUUGGCCUCAAUAGAUAUUGGAUAUGAAUUUUGAAUAUCAGUAUAAAAAUAUGUACUUCAACUUGAAUAUAUAAGUAAUAUAUCAUAAUGUAUCCUUUUCAAAUGUGAUUUGGAAUUUUAUAUUGAACGUAAUACUUUGAACCAUAACAAUUCCCCUAAAAUUUGUUGAUAUUUGAAUAAAUUAAAAUUAUGCAAAUAGAAA